rnacentral:rRNA from 1 species
CUUGCUACCUGACCUAGCGGCGGACGGGUGAGUAAUGCUUAGGAAUCUGCCUAUUAGUGGGGGACAACAUUCCGAAAGGAAUGCUAAUACCGCAUACGCCCUACGGGGGAAAGCAGGGGAUCUUCGGACCUUGCGCUAAUAGAUGAGCCUAAGUCAGAUUAGCUAGUUGGUGGGGUAAAGGCCUACCAAGGCGACGAUCUGUAGCGGGUCUGAGAGGAUGAUCCGCCACACUGGGACUGAGACACGGCCCAGACUCCUACGGGAGGCAGCAGUGGGGAAUAUUGGACAAUGGGCGAAAGCCUGAUCCAGCCAUGCCGCGUGUGUGAAGAAGGCCUUUUGGUUGUAAAGCACUUUAAGCGAGGAGGAGGCUACUUGGAUUAAUACUCUAGGAUAGUGGACGUUACUCGCAGAAUAAGCACCGGCUAACUCUGUGCCAGCAGCCGCGGUAAUACAGAGGGUGCAAGCGUUAAUCGGAUUUACUGGGCGUAAAGCGUGCGUAGGCGGCUUCUUAAGCCGGAUGUGAAAUCCCUGAGCUUAACUUAGGAAUUGCAUUCGAUACUGGGAAGCUAGAGUAUGGGAGAGGAUGGUAGAAUUCCAGGUGUAGCGGUGAAAUGCGUAGAGAUCUGGAGGAAUACCGAUGGCGAAGGCAGCCAUCUGGCCUAAUACUGACGCUGAGGUACGAAAGCAUGGGGAGCAAACAGGAUUAGAUACCCUGGUAGUCCAUGCCGUAAACGAUGUCUACUAGCCGUUGGGGCCUUUGAGGCUUUAGUGGCGCAGCUAACGCGAUAAGUGGACCGCCUGGGGAGUACGGUCGCAAGACUAAAACUCAAAUGAAUUGACGGGGGCCCGCACAAGCGGUGGAGCAUGUGGUUUAAUUCGAUGCAACGCGAAGAACCUUACCUGGUCUUGACAUAGUAAGAACUUUCCAGAGAUGGAUUGGUGCCUUCGGGAACUUGCAUACAGGUGCUGCAUGGCUGUCGUCAGCUCGUGUCGUGAGAUGUUGGGUUAAGUCCCGCAACGAGCGCAACCCUUUUCCUUAUUUGCCAGCGAGUAAUGUCGGGAACUUUAAGGAUACUGCCAGUGACAAACUGGAGGAAGGCGGGGACGACGUCAAGUCAUCAUGGCCCUUACGACCAGGGCUACACACGUGCUACAAUGGUCGGUACAAAGGGUUGCUACCUAGCGAUAGGAUGCUAAUCUCAAAAAGCCGAUCGUAGUCCGGAUUGGAGUCUGCAACUCGACUCCAUGAAGUCG